rnacentral:rRNA from 1 species
GAACGCUUUUUCUUUCACCGGGAGCUUGCUCCACCGAAAGAAAAAGAGUGGCGAACGGGUGAGUAACACGUGGGUAACCUGCCCAUCAGAAGGGGAUAACACUUGGAAACAGGUGCUAAUACCGUAUAACACUAUUUUCCGCAUGGAAGAAAGUUGAAAGGCGCUUUUGCGUCACUGAUGGAUGGACCCGCGGUGCAUUAGCUAGUUGGUGAGGUAACGGCUCACCAAGGCAACGAUGCAUAGCCGACCUGAGAGGGUGAUCGGCCACACUGGGACUGAGACACGGCCCAGACUCCUACGGGAGGCAGCAGUAGGGAAUCUUCGGCAAUGGACGAAAGUCUGACCGAGCAACGCCGCGUGAGUGAAGAAGGUUUUCGGAUCGUAAAACUCUGUUGUUAGAGAAGAACAAGGAUGAGAGUAAAAUGUUCAUCCCUUGACGGUAUCUAACCAGAAAGCCACGGCUAACUACGUGCCAGCAGCCGCGGUAAUACGUAGGUGGCAAGCGUUGUCCGGAUUUAUUGGGCGUAAAGCGAGCGCAGGCGGUUUCUUAAGUCUGAUGUGAAAGCCCCCGGCUCAACCGGGGAGGGUCAUUGGAAACUGGGAGACUUGAGUGCAGAAGAGGAGAGUGGAAUUCCAUGUGUAGCGGUGAAAUGCGUAGAUAUAUGGAGGAACACCAGUGGCGAAGGCGGCUCUCUGGUCUGUAACUGACGCUGAGGCUCGAAAGCGUGGGGAGCGAACAGGAUUAGAUACCCUGGUAGUCCACGCCGUAAACGAUGAGUGCUAAGUGUUGGAGGGUUUCCGCCCUUCAGUGCUGCAGCAAACGCAUUAAGCACUCCGCCUGGGGAGUACGACCGCAAGGUUGAAACUCAG